AAGUCCCAUAACUGUUCUAUUUUGAUUCACUUUAAAAGAUGAGUAAACUGAGACUAGCAUAGUUAAGCACUUCUCAACUAGUAAGUGAAAGAGGGAGGACUAGGAACCCUGGAAGUUUGACUCCAGCGGCAACAAUCUCAACCAGUAUCUUAGUCUUUAUCAGAUGCCAUGAACUGAAUGAUUGGCAAAUGUUUUUACAUAUAUUAAAUAUUUCAGGCUUUUCAGGCCAUCUGGUCUCCACUAUUUAGUUCUACACUUGUAGUGUAAAAACAGCCAUCGAUGAUAAAUAAACAAAUGGGUGUGGCUGUAUUUAUGGACACACUGAAUUUGAACUGCAUAUAUGUAUUUUAAUAGCCUUUUUUUAAAAAAAAGUUUUAGAUUCACAGCAAAAUUGAGCAGAAAAUACACAUUUCCCAUAUACCCUGUGCCCCCGCACAUGCACAGUCUCUUCCACUAUCAAUAUUCCAAUCAGAGAGGUACAUUUAUUACAAUCAAUGAACCCACAUUGACAUAUUAUCACCCAACAUCCAUAGUUAAUAUAUUAGGGCUCACUCUUGGUGAAUUUCAUAUAAUUUUCACAUAUCACGUUGUGACUGGUUUUUCUUUUUCAACCCUUUAAAAAUGUAAAAAAUCAUUCUUAGAUAUUGAGCUAUAAAAAAACCAACAAUUGGUUGGAUUUAGCCCAAUGGCCUUAAUUUGCCCAUCCAUGGUCUCUGGAUAAUGGCCAAACUGGGAAUUCCAUUUGUAAAUUAAAAGGUUCCUGGAUCCACCUUUCUACUUUGCCAGAAGAGGAUGAUUUUCCAAGUUUUGUUUUUUCAUUCCCACCUUUUAAAAGAAACUAACUCUGAGAGUUGGGAAAUGUUCAUGAAAAGUGUAUCUGUAUGUGGGAAAUCAAGUUCUGAAAUGCCAAGUUAAUUUGGUAGAGUUAGAAGACAGGGAUGGAAGCUGUUCUCCUCUAAAGGGAAACAAUCUAGUGUCAAGGUUCUCAGAACAGGCCCUGGAGCCCAAUGGGCUGACUUUUUGAGACCCAGCUUUGGCACUUAGGCAAGCUAUCUAACCUUUUUGGAUUUCACUUUCCUCACCUGCAAAAUGAGAACACCAAUAAUACCUACUUUAUGAAUUGUGAGUAUCGAAUCAAAUAGUCCAGGGCAUCGUCAGUAUAGUAAGAGCUCAGUAUACGUCAAAGUUAAUGACAAACGCUAGUGAGUAAGAACACAUUUUAAAUAGCAGAGUGCAUUCCAAUUUUGUAUCCACAAAGAUGAAGCACACUGUGAUUCGGCUUUGCCAAGCAUAUUAGAAUUAAAGUUCAACUCACAAUACUUAUUUCACCAGUUACCAGUUUAAUGCCAAUUGAAUGGGCUGAAUGCUGCAGACUCCAUUUCAGUAAUGUGGUUUUUAAUCUUACCUCUGAACACUAUACUUUCCCUAGAAAGAUUUUAACCUUAAGCUUAUCCCUACUUUCUUUUGAAUACCCAACAGGUACUUCUUUGAAAUCCUCUUUGCAAACUUUCCUUCUAUGUUAUUUCAUGUUUAUACCUUUAUUAUACUGACCCACUCAAUCAUGAAACAAAUUGUAAGUAGACCAUAUUAAACCUACUCCAAAUCCAUUUUCAGCCACCUGAAAUAUGAUCGGAUCUGCUUUGAAAAUGUUUGGAUCUUCGGUCAUGGGUGAUUAACGACUUAAGCCUUCUAGGAAAAUAAUGCCACCAAAGAAAUAGCUUACACUCUAUUUACAUGCAUUUGUUUUGAGAAGAGGAACUGUGGUUUGCAUUCGGCAACUUUUCAAAAUUUUUUGUCACGCCAUCUCUUGAUAGUAGCAGAAACUGGACUGGAGUACAUUCCUCUUAAUAAGUUAGAAGCCUAAUUUAUAUGAAAGAUUAUAUUACUGGGUGUUCCCUUAUUGUCCAAUGAGUUCAAAAAGUGAGAUACGUUAGGUAAAAGGUUCUAUUCUCAAAUGUGCUUAUAUUCAGGAAAAAUUUCAUAUUCCCAAUUGGGAAAUCAGGGUCAAAUGAGGCUAUCUUUUUAACUACUUGAUUCUGCUUCCCUAUCCCUAUUUCUCUCUACAACUUGAGGAAUCAAAGAAAAAAAAAACUUUUUAAAUAAAUAUUUGGUAUAAUAACAUUUGAAUAAGUAAAGGCAAAUUGUCAAGAUCCUGAAAUCAGGAAAAGUCAAAUAAUUUGUAAAAUCAAAACCACUGAGUUUGGAAAAGGAACAUUAUUAACUCAUUAACUCCUGUUAAAUCCCACGAAUAAUGGUGUGGUCAAAAAGGCAGAUACAGGCCGGGCGCGGUGGCUCACGCCUGUAAUCCCAGCGAUUUGGGAGGCUGAGGCGGGCGGAUCACGAGGUCAAGAGAUCGAGA
rnacentral:lncRNA from 10 species